GGGUCAAAACCCUAGCCGCCGCGCCAACCCUUCUCGUCAGGCCCGCGCCCCCUCCGCCUCGUCUCCUCCCUGCUCCCUCCUCUCCCACGUCACCGCCCUCGAGCCCCCUCCACCUCGUCUCCUCCCUGCUCCCUCCUCUCCAACGCCGCUGCCCUCGAUGCGACGUCAGGGAUGCCAUCAGCCCGAGCCUAGGAGAAGACCACUCCUAAUCUUACUCGCCGCCGCUGAUUGGAUCGAGAGCGCCCACAUGGCCUCGCCACCGCUGCCGCCUGGAUUUGCUAGCCGCCGCAUGGAGUCACCCUGGCCGCCGCGUGGAGUCGCCCUGGCCGCCGCCGAGAGUCAGCUCCACCAUUGCCCCCAGGAAUCCAGUCCCGGCAAGGUAACUUCCUCCGAAUCCCUGCUCUCCCUGGUCCUCCUGCCCUGCUUGCUGCAUGUGUGUUGUGUGCGUUUGGCCACUCCUCCAGCAAGCUCAAGUCCGUCGACUUUUACAGGUACCAUCUGCCUCCCUUCCGAUCUUCAGAUCUCCAUAUUUGGUGACUGCGGUGUUUUGAUUUCGUUGGAUUACUAUCUGUAUUUGGGGAUUAGCUAUGAAUUGAUGUUUUUACUUCGAGCAUGGAUAGUCGGCAGUACUGAUUUAGGUCUUUUUGUAGAACAGAAUGAUUAGCUCGUCUAUUUCUGGAGAACUGCACUAUAGAUGAUAUAUUUAUGAACGAUCUUAACAAUGAAAAUGCAAAAUUUACGCUAUGGUCUAAUGAUUGUCGGUGGGGUGUGAAUUUUUCGCUGGCAUUGUCCAGUGCAGUUUUUGGAUUUCUACUGAGGUGUACAGUGUUUUGAGAUUUGUUUUUGUGUUAUGCUAUCUGCAGGAAAAUUCCCAGGGAUUUAAUUGACGGAGGCAUCACUAUUUGACGUUGGAUUAUCCAUUUUUGCAGCACUAGCAAUGUUGUUUUUGUUUGGAAUGACCAGUUCUCAAUUUCUAUUCUGUUAUCAACGAUACUGUACUUCUUGUCAGGUUACAUUAUCUUACUUGGUUUCAGUCUAUAUGUAGCACAAAAAUAGGUAACAUAGUUGUUGUCAUGCUCGAUUUGGUUUGUAGGUUACACUAAGGAACACCAUCAUAAGGAAAAGGGCAUUGCACUGCAUUGUUUAUAAUUGGCCUGUUACUAUUCGGUCUGCUGUAGUACUUAAUUGCUACACCAUUUCAAGUUAUGUAGUCUAAAAUAACCCUUUCAAAUGAACUUUUUUAAUUGAUAUUCAGAGCAUCGACAUGGUGGACUAGAUUAUGAAAUCAACUAUGAUCAUGAGAACUUGAAGCUAUUUGUUGACUAAAUUGUCAAUUGUUUUGCGUGAAUUGAAACUGGCAGUGUGAUGACAUUACUGUAGAUGCUUUGCUAUAUACAUUUGCCUAAUCCUCCCUCUCUCUAAUAUGUUCUCUUUUGUGAAGAUCCUUUGCAGAUCAAUUGGUGAGGCAGAAUGCUAAGCAUCGUUUCACAUUCAGGUUUGCUAUCAAACUCUCAAAAAGGAAAAACAACUUUACUCUGUUUUUUGGAGAACCUUCCUGUAGAGUACCUCGACAGAGACAAAUAUGCGAUCAAGGAUAUAUUCGAUGGAUUUUCACGCAAAAUUUCGAGGAUAUUUUUGCAGAUAGUUUGGUGCUCUCAUGGUUAUUUUGUAGUGAUUUUCCUUCUGUUCAUUACUUGGUAACCAUCUACGGCAGCUCAGCUAUUGUCCAGCUGCUGACCUUGGUGAGUGAUUGAUGGUGCAUGUUUUUCUAUUAGUUUCUCUCUAUGCCAAUGUCUGAAUUUUAUCUUGCCGUUUUGCAUUUCUCCAGGCCUUUCAAUCUCACUGUGAUUCCCCGAGAUGCGCUAUUAGUAGGCAUCCACUUCGUAAUAAAAAUUUGGCAGUCAACUUGAAACGAGUCAUUUAUCUAGCUACAGCAACCUUCCUUGCUUUUGCAAAUAAUACUGUAUGGUUGACACUAUAGUCUAUACCUGCCAAAUAUUUACACGUUAGUAUAGCCAGAAAGUCAGAUGAUCGUUCCAUGUUGGUUAGCUGUGAUAAAUCAAAUUUCUAGAGUAGCAGAUGAUUCGUGUCAGGUUUCUUUUAGAGAUUGAAAUAUGUCUUGACUCUGAAAUUAGUAGUACAGCGUCCAGUUUUCCAUAGGUGAAAGCAUACUAUGCAAAACUGGACGGCCUUCUAAAGCUCUGAAACUACUAUUUGUUGUGUAAUCUGUAUCCCCUUUUCAUACUUUGUAUAUGCUUUCUACUUACUAGGAAAAAAUGCGUGAGAACGAUGGCCUAGAGGAUGUGAAUUGCACUCAAAUAUAUGCAGGUUUCUUGCCAAACUAACUGCCACUAUUGUAUUUCAGGUGCUUCUUCUGUAACUUAGUGUAUUUUGCUGGCUCGUCUCAUUUCCUGGCGAACUUUUUAGUAUGUACAGUUGAAUCAUUGGAAGUUGUUUUCUACUAUCUAUAGAGGUUUUAUCCAAACUAUUAGCUGCCUGACUUGCUUUUUUGAAAUACACCAACCUGAUAGACCAAGUGGACCAACACAUUUCCAUGGGAUUUUAGAAAAAUAUAUAUUCGAAUUUGCAUACAUUUUCUAAAUUUCUAUCUUUUCUUAUCCAUGCUUCCCCAUAGAUAUAUAGCAGGCUCAACAAAAAUAUAUGUCCGCUUAUGUUCAAAUUUCAAGGAAGUGUGCUUCACACUUCUCUUUCUGCAAUAUGUUUCAGAGUAUAUGAUUUAAUUUUCCUACUUUUCCAGUUAAAAUACUGUGUACUUCAUUCUUAGCUUUGCUUUAGGAAAAAUAGGUAUGCAGGUUAUCGAAAGCUCCAUUUUUCACCAUUAUAUAGAUUAUAUAGCUUUGUGGUCGAAGGUAGGUUGUCACAUAUGGGAUGUUGCUUGUGAAAGUUAUAUACAGCCAUGAGUCCCUGACAAAAUAAUCGCAGCUCAUAUUAUUAGGAUCAGGGAACCUCGACCAUUUUUCUGAAACAUGUCGCAGCUCAUGUUCCUACUUUCCCAGCUACAGUAUGUACUUCAUUCUUACCUUUGCUUUUGGAAGUUACAUUGCUUUCUUUUCCCUCAUAAACUUGCUAAAGAUAUUGGCGAAGUAAUCCCCACUUCAGAUUUCCCAUUGAAUGAAUAACUAAUUUAGUUUGUUCAAAAAUUGUAGGUCAAGAGCCAUGAAUAGGAGCAAGGCAUCACACUCCAGCUCUGAGAAGAAAAGGAUAUGAAGACAAAGAUAUCAGUGUUCUGCUCCGAGGCAAAAACAUUUUGCGUGUAAUAAUGAACUGUAAUUUACCACAAUCUCUAAAACAGGCCUACCUACUUGCUUUUGUAUUAGGAAGUACUCCCUCCGUUCAGAAUUACUUGUCGCACAAAUGGAUGUAUCUAGAUGUAUUUUAGUUCUAGAUACAUCUAUUUUCGAGACAAGUAAUUCGGAACGGAGGGAGUAUGACUCAGUUAUAUAUGCAUGAAAAUACAUUUUUAAAUGAGCUUGAAAAUUCUUAUGUGCAUUGAAA